GGUGCUGUUGGAUCUGGUAGAUCAUGUCUAGUUGCUAAUAGCGAACUGACAUUACCUCUGGUAUGUAGUGGUUCAUAAUCUUAUGUAGCUGGCAUCAUGUCUAGUUGCUAAUAGCGAACUGACAUUACCUCUGGUAUGUAGUGGUUCAUAAUCUUAUGUAGCUGGCCCCAAGUUUACUUUGAUAAGUUUUAGCUUGUCGGGAUGAUUUUUUGCUGCUUCUGCUUGUAGAAGAGCUUCCUGAAAAAUGGGGGCCCUUAGAAUGUCAACUUGAAAUGCUGUGCUUAUAGACAUUAGCAAGUCUUCUUGCAAAUUGAUUUGAUCAAACUGAUCCAAAACAAUAAAGAGAAA
rnacentral:lncRNA from 1 species